UACGAAGGGGGCUAGCGUUGUUCGGAAUCACUGGGCGUAAAGGGCGCGUAGGCGGCUUUAUAAGUCGGGGGUGAAAGCCUGUGGCUCAACCACAGAAUUGCCUUCGAUACUGUAGAGCUUGAGACCGGAAAAGGUAAGUGGAACUGCGAGUGUAGAGGUGAAAUUCGUAGAUAUUCGCAAGAACACCAGUGGCGAAGGCGGCUUACUGGUCCGGUUCUGACGCUGAGGCGCGAAAGCGUGGGGAGCAAACAGG
rnacentral:rRNA from 1 species